ACGCUGCGAGUGCGCCACCAGUCCGCCAUCUUUCUUACCUUUUUGAUGGUUGUUGACUUGUAAAUUUUGUAAUUAGUUUUUGCCGACGUCCGUUUUUUAAGUAAUUUUUGGUAUUUUACAAAUUGUGUUACUUUAGUGGACACGUGGAGACAUGGACGCUGACUGUUGGAAGAAUUCGUCAAUUCAGACUGGCGCAAAGAGCUAUCAGGGCGCGAUGCCAGGAAUUUCAUUGCGAGACAGAAUUCGAAAUGAGGAUAUUCGCCAACGCAAUAAAGUUACCGACAUUGCAAAAAGGAUUAACUCAAGUGGGAAUGGACCGGCUAUAUUUUUCGCAGAGAUGACGAUCAAUGGGGUCGCCUAGUAUUGCUGUGGAGACCUAGCCUGGGUGGCCGAGGUGGCGGGAAACCACGAGCAGAUGGUCGGAUGACACAUAUAGAACGGAGUGGAAACCCACGGAAUGCAGACCAGGAUCAUAUACUUUAGGUAUGAGUUUGUUACUUUUGCUCUUAAUAACAUGGAGUAUGUCACAGCUGCUCCACGGGCUGCAUUGAAGGGCAACAGGAGCGAAAAUGUUAAAAUGGAAAGGAGCUCCCCCUUUCAAUUAGGGAAUCUUAGGAUAUGCUAAGGCAAACAGAAGGAGGCAAGGAACGGGACUGCAUCAAUUGCUGUCUGGAACCAAUCUUGUGGGAUGACUUCUGGACAGGGAAAAACAAUUUCAUCAUCUACCCUAAUACUGACGAAUGUUCUAAAACGUGCUGUAAGGCAGACAUUUCCAAAUGUAACGGAGGAAAGUUUCGAGACAUGUAAUGGUUUCAACAUGCUGCUGAGACCCAACUCAAGAGACGUCAGUUUGUACUGUUUAGUCCAUUCUCUAUUGGGCAUGCUUGUAUAGAGAGGUAUAUAUAUAUAUUGGAGUACAGACAUGGUGUUUGGUAUGAGUAAUAUACAUCCUUUUGAGUCAAAUAGGACCGGUAGCCACUUUGAACUCCGUGUCCGAAAGGGUCAAAGUAUGGAGCUCCCGGUACUCAGAAAAAAAAUUCUGGCCUAUUUUGAACUUUCGAGUCAAGUUUGGUGUCAUUUUUAAACUGUUCGCUUCGUUUUUAAAUUGAAGAAGAUUAAAAAUCACAGUAAUAUUAUAAAGGCAAAAGUUUGUGAGCAUACUGUGUUUGUUACUUCCUCACGCCACGCCCAAGUGCCUUAACAAAUAUUAUUUAUAAAAUUAAGUAUGGAGGAAGUACGAUAUACCCUAAGUUAACACGUCGCUUCUUCUUGAUCGUGGGUAACACUCGGGGCGCAGUAUAAUGAUUAUUAAAAAUCUUUCUGCUGUCCCCUAUGCUGCGAUGGCGAUCGUUGCAGUACUUUCAAUAUUUUUUUUACAUCAAAUAUUAGAAUCAUCAAAGAUUACUAAUAAAAUAGGCUUUUUAGAAAUAUUUUUUAAAAAUCAUGAUUAGUAUAAAAAUACGGAAAUAUGAG